rnacentral:rRNA from 1 species
UACGGAGGGGGCUAGCGUUGUUCGGAAUUAUUGGGCGUAAAGAGCUCGUAGGCGGUUUGUCGCGUCUGCCGUGAAAGUCCGGGGCUUAACCCCGGAUCUGCGGUGGGUACGGGCAGACUAGAGUGCAGUAGGGGAGACUGGAAUUCCUGGUGUAGCGGUGAAAUGCGCAGAUAUCAGGAGGAACACCGAUGGCGAAGGCAGGUCUCUGGGCUGUAACUGACGCUGAGGAGCGAAAGCAUGGGGAGCAAACAGG